ensembl:snRNA U6 U6 spliceosomal RNA
CUGCUUGAUUCUCUAGCACAGAUGGUAAAAACUGGAUGGUUAUAGAAAUUAGCAUGGUCCCUGCUCCAGGAUGACACAAAUUCAUGAAGAAUUCCAUAUUUUU